AGGGGCUUAGAGAGGAGCUGGAGCUGGGGUGUUGCCAUGGCUGGGAUACAUAUGGGUGUGCUUCAUUUGCAUAUGAUUUGCAUACAAUUUUCUAGAUGCCUGUUAUUUGUGAACUAUUAGGCAUUGAUUUGCAUACUCAUUUGCGCAUUUAUUUUUCACGAUUGUUCUGCAGAACAAGGGCUCCCUCCAAGCCCCCCUGCCCCUGCUCCACAGGCCCCGCCCCCGGCCGUCGCUCCGCCCACCGAGCGCUACAAGCCCCGCCCCCGCUCCGCCCCUCACACCCUAUUGGUCACUCUGCUCAGGAGCAAUCAGCCCCUCCUGGAGGCGGAGCUUCUGAGCGUGGCUCCGCCUCUCUGCGCCCGCUCCAUUGUAAGCAGCCAAACCUGGGGGGUUCAAUGGGGGUCCUAUGGG